GUGCACGCUGGCGGUAGGCCUAACACAUGCAAGUCGAACGGCAGCACAGUAAGAGCUUGCUCUUACGGGUGGCGAGUGGCGGACGGGUGAGGAAUACAUCGGAAUCUACUUUUUCGUGGGGGAUAACGUAGGGAAACUUACGCUAAUACCGCAUACGACCUACGGGUGAAAGCAGGGGAUCUUCGGACCUUGCGCGAUUGAAUGAGCCGAUGUCGGAUUAGCUAGUUGGCGGGGUAAAGGCCCACCAAGGCGACGAUCCGUAGCUGGUCUGAGAGGAUGAUCAGCCACACUGGAACUGAGACGCGGUCCAGACUCCUACGGGAGGCAGCAGUGGGGAAUAUUGGACAAUGGGCGCAAGCCUGAUCCAGCCAUACCGCGUGGGUGAAGAAGGCCUUCGGGUUGUAAAGCCCUUUUGUUGGGAAAGAAAAGCAGCAGGUUAAUACCCCGCUGUUCUGACGGUACCCAAAGAAUAAGCACCGGCUAACUUCGUG
rnacentral:rRNA from 1 species